CGGAGCGUAGCGCAGUCUGGUUUGGGACCAGAGGGUCGAAGGUUCGAAUCGUUUCGCUCCGACCA
rnacentral:tRNA from 1 species